GGAGUUAGCCGGUGCUUCUUCUGCGAGUAACGUCACAGAUGUAAGGUAUUAACUUACACCCUUUCCUCCUCGCUGAAAGUGCUUUACAACCCGAAGGCCUUCUUCACACACGCGGCAUGGCUGCAUCAGGGUUUCCCCCAUUGUGCAAUAUUCCCCACUGCUGCCUCCCGUAGGAGUCUGGGCCGUGUCUCAGUCCCAGUGUGGCUGAUCAUCCUCUCAGACCAGCUAGGGAUCGUCGCCUAGGUGAGCCUUUACCUCACCUACUAGCUAAUCCCACCUGGGCUUAUCCAUCAGCGCAAGGCCCGAAGGUCCCCUGCUUUCCCCCGUAGGGCGUAUGCGGUAUUAGCAGUCGUUUCCAACUGUUAUCCCCACAAAUGGGCAAAUUCCCAGGCAUUACUCACCCGUCCGCCGCUCGUCAUCUACAAGACANCUUAGUAAUAGUACGUCUCGACUGCAUGUGUUAGGUCGUCGCCGCCACGCGUUACUAAUACUACGAACCAACGAUACUAACUUACUAGA
rnacentral:rRNA from 1 species